ACCUGGGCUACACACGUGCUACGAAUGGGCGGUACAAAGGGUCGCGAACCCGCGAGGGGGAGCCAAUCCCAAAAGCCGCUCUACAGUUCGGAUUGCAGGCUGCAACUCGCCUGCAUGAAGCCGGAAUCGCUAGUAAUCGCGGAUCAGCAUGCCGCGGUGAAUACGUUCCCGGGCCUU
rnacentral:rRNA from 1 species